GGCGCUGGAGUUGUUCGUGAUUCCGGGAGGCGGAGGCGGCACAGUCGUUUUCUGAUUACAACGGGGGUGGAGGGGUUUCGUCAUUGGAGAUUUGUACGUGAGUUUAUGAGGGGAUCAAGGGAUUGAGUGGAGAGGGCCGGAUGUUUUGCUUUUUUAAUGAAUUUUUAUAUUAUUUCGUUUUUUUCUAGCUAUCCUUGGAAAGAUCAUCUCUUUUUUUAUAUAAAUAGAUUCGGCGUUGCAUUUCAUUUCAGGUCUUCCCUGGAUUUAACAGAACUGUGGUCGCUGGCAUUGGCAGCUUGGCCCCAGCUCUAGUGGACUCCAGUUGACCGAACAAUGCG
rnacentral:lncRNA from 1 species